UGGGGAAUAUUGCACAAUGGGGGAAACCCUGAUGCAGCGACGCCGCGUGAGCGAAGAAGGCUUUCUAGUCGUAAAGCUCUGUCCUAUGAGAAGAUAAUGACGGUAUCAUAGGAGGAAGCCCUGGCUAAAUACGUGCCAGCAGCCGCGGUAAUACGUAUGGGGCGAGCGUUGUCCGGAAUUAUUGGGCGUAAAGGGUACGUAGGUGGUUUUUUAAGUCAGGUGUCAAAGCGUGGAGCUUAACUCCAUUAAGCACUUGAAACUGAAAGACUUGAGUGAAGGAGAGGAAAGUGGAAUUCCUAUUGUAGCGGUGAAAUGCGUAGAUAUUAGGAGGAAUACCGGUGGCGAAGGCGACUUUCUGGACUUUUACUGACGCUCAGGUACGAAAGCGUGGGGAGCAAACAGG
rnacentral:rRNA from 1 species